GCAGUAGUAGCUCAGUUUCAGAGCAUUG
rnacentral:tRNA from 1 species